GAGACACAGUGGGUGUCCGAGGGGGGGCUCUGCGUCCGGAGGCGAGACGUCCGAGGUCAGAGGGGAGGAGACGGACCCGACCUUCCUUGGCUGUGCUCUCCAGCCCUGUCCUGUGCUGGACCCAACCUAACCUCUGCAGCCUCCCUGCCCUGGACACAAAUCUGGCUGAGACCCCAGACCCUGAUGGGGCAGAGCCUGGCACUGGAGGAGCCACCAGGAUGGGCCCCUGUGGGUGUGGGCAGAGGGUGAUCCUCAGUUCAGGUUUUUGCCAGAAGAUGGGUUCCUGCAGGAGGGGGUCUCAGCAGCUCAGACUUCAGAUGCGCUCACUGCUGCUCACUGUGGGACAGCCAGACACGGAGCCCUCUGUUCUCCAGCAGUUGUGGACAAUGAGGGAUCCCUGGAGGGAUGCCUGGUGGGCAGCAGGAGUCCCUCUUGUGGGUCAGGGUGCGGGGAUGGGCUCUCCCUGCAGGGACUUCCCAGUCUUGUCCUCUGGGAUUGGCAGUUUGCAGGGGUAUCCUCGGCAUCAGACCAGGGGGGCCACACAGGGACCCAGAUCUAUGGGGCCCAGCCCCGGGAAGACCAGAUGGGCUCAGUGGAGAAGCUGACCACAUCUGCUUUCCUUUCAGCCAAACCGGGGAGCGUCCCGGCACCCAGGCCUCUGCGGGUAACCCCAGGCAUCAAGACCCUCCCUCAAGGGGAGGAGCUGGCUCUCCCCUGCCCAUCAGCACAGCUCCAGAAUCCCAAGGGGUCAGCUCCCACAUGGGGGCCUGGUCCUGCCACACACUGGCCUAGCUGGGCUGUCCCCGAGGCCAAGGCCUAGCGGCAUGAGGGGGCUUCCGUGGAGCCCAGGGCAGUGGGCUGCUCUCUGGAGUCCCUAGGACUCGGGGUGUGGCUGGCCUGUCCCCAGAUCAGGACACACCCCAGGUUGUCCAGUGGUUCCCGUGCUGGAACUCCUGUUGAAGCCACCCAGGGACCUGGAUGCUUCCCACAGUUCAGCAUGGAGCAGGGGUGCUGGGCCCUGACCCCUCCACGUCUGUCCUGGACACCCCAGGACCACAGCACAGGCCCAGCCCUGCAACCCCAGCGGGGCCCUGAUACCAGGCCCUGCCCAGCCCCGUAAUGACCAAGAGGCAGGUCCAGAGAUACCUCCUGCACAGGGUCACCUGCAUCUGACGCCCCCAGCAGGCAGUGACCAGCACGGUGUGGAAGGAGCCAGGGUGGCACCCGGCAGCCCUAGAGGGCUCCUGGCCUCGGGAAGUCUAUCGAUGGGGAAGCUGGUCACUCGGAGGCUGCUGGGGAGAAGGGGGAGUGUGGCAUUCCCUGGACAGAAGGGCAAGUGUGGCGUCCCCUGGAGAGAAGGGCGAGUGUGGCGUCCCCUGGAGAGAAGGGCGAGUGUGGCGUCCCCUGGAGAGAAGGGCGAGUGUGGCGUCCCCUGGACAGAAGGGGGAGUGUGGCGUCCCCUGGAGAGAAGGGGGAGUGUGGCGUCCCCUGGAGAGAAGGGGGAGUGUGGCGUCCCCUGGAGAGAAGGGCGAGUGUGGCGUCCCCUGGACAGAAGGGGGAGUGUGGCGUCCCCUGGAGAGAAGGGGGAGUGUGGCGUCCCCUGGAGAGAAGGGGGAGUGUGGCGUCCCCUGGAGAGAAGGGGGAGUGUGGCGUCCCCUGGAGAGAAGGGCGAGUGUGGCGUCCCCUGGAGAGAAGGGCGAGUGUGGCGUCCCCUGGACAGAAGGGGGAGUGUGGCGUCCCCUGGAGAGAAGGGCCAGUGUGGCGUCCCCUGGAGAGAAGGGGGAGUGUGGCGUCCCCUGGAGAGAAGGGGGAGUGUGGCGUCCCCUGGACAGAAGGGGGAGUGUGGCGUCCCCUGGAGAGAAGGGCCAGUGUGGCGUCCCCUGGAGAGAAGGGCGAGUGUGGCGUCCCCUGGACAGAAGGGGGAGUGUGGCGUCCCCUGGAGAGAAGGGCGAGUGUGGCGUCCCCUGGAGAGAAGGGCGAGUGUGGCGUCCCCUGGAGAGAAGGGGGAGUGUGGCGUCCCCUGGACAGAAGGGGGAGUGUGGCGUCCCCUGGAGAGAAGGGCGAGUGUGGUGUUCGCUGGAGAGAAGGGCGAGUGUGGUAUUCCCUGGACAAAAGGGGGAGUGUCCCUGCAGCCCUGGCCAGCCAGCGGCAUGCCCUGCUAGCUCUCCCCCAACCUCAGGGAUAGGGAACCCUGACAGGGCACAAGUCCCCGUCCCAGAGGGGCCUGGCCCAGCCUCAACCCGGGCCCUGGGAGGGGAGGGGCACCAGGGGCGCUGUGGGCCCCCAGCAGAAGCCAGGAUGACCACACAGGGGACUGAGCUGUCUGUGGCUGUGGCCAGACCUAGAACUUGGCCCAAGGCAGGGCAAGCCCCUUGGAGCAGAGUGGGUGGCAGAGCCUGUGUAUACCCAGCAAGGCUGAGCCAGUGACACUACCAGGCUCCAAGAGCAACCAGCCAUGAGGCAGGCGUGGGGCAAGGGUAGGGUGAGGGCAGGGGCGGGGGAGAGUGGGGCAGGAGCAGACGGACCAGCUGCCAACCUCGUCCACUCCAGGAGGCAGGGAUGGCCAGGCUCCCACGCCCUACUGGCCGCUACCCGACCACCAAUGAGGCAGAGGCCUGAGGCCAGUCGGUGCUGGAGCCCUACUUCCAAGGUCCACAGACCGCUUCAGGCCACAGAGCCGAAGAAAACUGGGCAUGUGAAGGCCCAGGAGGCGGGGUCCCUAUGUCUGCCAUUCUUGGCAGGUGCAUUUCACGCUGGGAGCAAGUCAGGAAAGGUGAUGCCUCUCACCGCCAAGAAGGCUCCCAGCAGAGACCAGAGCCACCGGCACAGAUCCCCAACCCCUGAAACCACCUCCCUCUGGAGGACCAGGACGCCCUCCUAGUUGGUAGAAGCACAGUAAGCUCUCUGUCCUUAUGAUCUGCCUGCUUGUCCAGAGCUCUCUGCCAGAAGCCGUGGACACUGGGGCAGGCGGGAGGAGAGAGCACCACAGCCCAGACCCCUGACCGGCCUCUCCCAACCUCCCCCUCCCAAAGGCUAUGGAGAGCCCAGGGCUGGACAGGCCUGAGGUUCCGACAUACCUCAUGCCAGGCCACACGCGCACCGUGUCCCACCCUCAGCCGAAAACCAAGAUCAAGACCAUCCAAUAAUUU
rnacentral:misc_RNA from 1 species